GAUGAACGCUAGCGGCGGGCUUAAUACAUGCAAGUCAAGGGGUAGCAAUACACCGGCGUACGGGUGCGUAACGCGUAUGGAACCUGCCCUUAUCUGGGGGAUAACUCGGGGAAACUCGAGCUAAUACCGCAUAAGAUAGUAGAGAGGCAUCUCUUAGCUAUUAAAGAUUUAUCGGAUAAGGAUGGCCAUGCGUAAGAUUAGAUAGUUGGCGGGGUAACGGCUCACCAAGUCUACGAUCUUUAGGGGCUCUGAGAGGAGAAUCCCCCACACUGGCACUGAGAUACGGGCCAGACUCCUACGGGAGGCAGCAGUAGGGAAUAUUGGGCAAUGGGCGGAAGCCUGACCCAGCCACGCCGCGUGGAGGAAGACGGCCCUCUGGGUUGUAAACUGCUCUUAACUGGGAAGAAAGCAGCUCAUGCGUGAGAAUUUGACGGUACCAGUUGAAUAAGCCACGGCUAACUACGUGCCAGCAGCCGCCGUAAUAC
rnacentral:rRNA from 1 species